rnacentral:rRNA from 1 species
GUGGGGAAUUUUGGACAAUGGGCGCAAGCCUGAUCCAGCAAUGCCGCGUGUGUGAAGAAGGCCUUCGGGUUGUAAACUCCUUUUGGAGGGGAAGAAUAAAUUGACGGUACCCUCAGAAAAAGCCACGGCUAACUACGUGCCAGCAGCCGCGGUAAUACGUAGGUGGCGAGCGUUACUCGGAAUUACUAGGCGUAAAGCGUAUGUAGGUGGUUAGAUAAGUCUAUGGUGAAAUUUCCUGGCUUAACUGGGAAGGGACAUAGAUACUAUCUGGCUUGAGUGUGGGAGGGGGAGACGGAAUUCCUGGUGUAGCGGUGAAAUGCGUAGAUAUCAGGAGGAACACCGAUGGCGAAAGCAGUCUCCUGGCCCAAUACUGACACUGAGGUACGAAAGCUAGGGUAGCAAACAGGAUUAGAAACCCCAGUAGUCC